rnacentral:rRNA from 1 species
UCAAGCUACUAAGGGCAUACGGCGGAUGCCUAGGCGCCAUCAGCCGAUGAAGGACGCGGUAAGCUGCGAAAAGCUACGGGGAACUGCAAGCAAGUAUUGAUCCGUAGAUGUCCGAAUGGGGAAACCCACCUGCCGUCAUGGGCAGGUAUCCGAAAGGAAGGGAACCCGGGGAACUGAAACAUCUAAGUACCCGGAGGAAGAGAAAUCAAACGAGAUGCCCACAGUAGCGGCGAGCGAAGAGGGCAGAGGGCAAACCGGUGAGCUACGGCUCGCCGGGGUUGAGGACUGCAUUUAGUCUCAAUGGUCUAUCCGAACUACCUGGAAAGGUAGGCAAUACAGUGUAAAAGCCACGUAGGUUAAAGACCGGAGAGAUGAGCAGUAUCCAGAGUACCACGAGGCACGAGGAAUCUUGUGGGAAGCCGGGGGGACCACCCUCCAACCCUAAACACUGAAUGGCGACCGAUAGCGCAUAGUACCGUGAGGGAAAGGUGAAAAGAACCCCGGGAGGGGAGUGAAAGAGAACCUGAAACCGCAUGCCCACAAGAAGUCAGAGCCCGUCAAAGGGUGAUGGCGUGCCUUUUGUAGAAUGAGCCGGCGAGUCACGAUCAGCAGGCGAGGUUAAGCAGGAGAUGCGGAGCCGCAGCGAAAGCGAGUCUUAACAGGGCGACAUAGUCUGAGGUCGUGGACCCGAAACCGGGUGAUCUAGCCAUGAGCAGGUUGAAGUCGGGGUGAGACCCGAUGGAGGACCGAACCGACCCCCGUUGAAACGUUGGCGGAUGACUUGUGGCUAGGGGUGAAAUUCCAAUCGAACCCGGAGAUAGCUGGUUCUCCCCGAAAUAGCUUUAGGGCUAGCGUCGCAGCGAGAGAGCCGUGAAGGUAGAGCACUGAAUAUGCGAUGGCCGCAUCCCGCGGUACUGAGCAUAAUCAAACUCCGAAUGUCACGGUGUCAUCUGCGGCAGUCAGACGGCGAGUGAUAAGGUCCGUCGUCAAGAGGGAAACAGCCCAGACCAUCAGCUAAGGUCCCAAAGUGCAUGCUAAGUGGAAAAGGAAGUGGAGACGUGCAGACAACUAGGAGGUUGGCUCAGAAGCAGCCAUCCUUCAAAGAGUGCGUAACAGCUCACUAGUCGAAUGACUCUGCGCCGAUAAUUUACCGGGGCUAAGCAUGACACCGAAGCUAUGGACAGGAAUGUGGUAGGGGAGCAUUGCAUGCAGCGGAGAAGCAUGACCGAGAGGGCAUGUGGAGCGCAUGGAAGAGAGAAUGCCGGCGUGAGUAGCGGCACGUGGGUGAGAAUCCCACGCACCGAUGGCCCAAGGUCUCCAGAGGAAGGCUCGUCCUCUCUGGGAUAGUCGGGACCUAAGGCGAGGCCGAAAGGCGUAGCCGAUGGACGACGGGUGGAUAUUCCCGUACCCGAUGUGUGGCGAUGGAGUGACGGAGAAGGCUCAGGCAACCAGCUGCUGGAAUAGCUGGGGCAAGCGAGAUACCUGCGCACCAGGGAAAUCCGGUGCGCGCAAGGGGAAGGCGCGAAGCAUACGGAAAGCUGCGGCAAGUACGGAAAAGCUGAGAGCAGGCUUCCAGGAAAAGCUUCUAGCACAACACGCAUCGGCCCGUACCGAAAAUGGACACACAUGGGCAAGGAGAGAAUCCUGAGGUGAGCGAGAGAACUAUAGCUAAGGAACUCUGCAAAAUGACCCCGUAACUUAGGGAGAAGGGGUGCUCCAGAAAUGGAGCCGCAGUAAAACGGCCCAAGCGACUGUUUACCAAAAACACAGCUCUCUGCGAAGGCGCAAGCCGAAGUAUAGGGGGUGACGCCUGCCCGGUGCUGGAAGGUCAAGGGGAGCUGUCAGCGCAAGCGAAGCAGCGAGCCGAAGCCCCAGUAAACGGCGGCCGUAACUAUAACGGUCCUAAGGUAGCGAAAUUCCUUGUCGGGCAAGUUCCGACCCGCACGAAAGGCGUAACGAUUUGGGCGCUGUCUCAGCUGUAGACUCGGUGAAGUCUUAGUACCUGUGAAGAUGCAGGUUGCCCGCGACUAGACGGAAAGACCCCAUGGAGCUUCACUGCAGGUUGACAUUGGGCUUGGAUGCAUGAUGUACAGGAUAGGUGGGAGGCUGUGAGCCGUGCGCGCCAGCGUACGGGGAGCCGCUGUUGGGAUACCACCCUUCAUGCAUCUAGGUCCUAACCGGAGGCAACGGGCCACGGGACAGUGUCAGUCGGGCAGUUUGACUGGGGCGGUCGCCUCCCAAAGAGUAACGGAGGCGCCCAAAGAUACCCUCAGCAUGGAUGGAAACCAUGCAUAGAGUGCAAAGGCAUAAGGGUGUCUGACUGCGAGACAUACAGGUCGAGCAGGGACGAAAGUCGGGCUUAGUGAUCCGGCGGAUCCGAAUGGAAGGGCCGUCGCUCAACGGAUAAAAGCUACCCUGGGGAUAACAGGCUGAUCUCCCCCAAGAGUUCACAUCGACGGGGAGGUUUGGCACCUCGAUGUCGGCUCAUCGCAUCCUGGAGCUGAAGUCGGUUCCAAGGGUUGGGCUGUUCGCCCAUUAAAGCGGUACGCGAGCUGGGUUCAGAACGUCGUGAGACAGUUCGGUCCCUAUCUGUCGUGGGCGCAGGAUAUUUGA